AGCCCAAAUGUCAUUUGUCCUUCGAAAAAAACUGCUCACAUCAAGAAAUAAUUGGCAACGGCUAUAUUGGGUUUUUUGGACUUUUUGUGUGUAUACUCACUACAACUUAGGCGAAGUAACAGGGUCAAAGAGGUUCCUUGUAAAAGGAUGAACAUUACCUACUUCCCAAGACUACUGUAAGGAUUAAAUUAACAAAUAUAUGAAGGUACUUUCUACAAUAAAAUGCACAUUAAAUAUUCUUUA